AGCAGCNGCGGUAAUACGUAGGGUGCGAGCGUUAAUNGGAAUUACUGGGCGUAAAGCGGGCGCAGACGGUUACUUAAGCAGGAUGUGAANUCCCCGGGCUCAACCUGGGAACUGCGUUCUGAACUGGGUGACUAGAGUGUGUCAGAGGGAGGUAGAAUUCCACGUGUAGCAGUGAAAUGCGUAGAGAUGUGGAGGAAUACCGAUGGCGAAGNCAGCCUCCAGGGAUAACACUGACGUUCAUGCCCGAAAGCGUGGGUAGCAAACAGGAUUAGAUACCCUGGUAGUCCACGCCCUAAACGAUGUCGAUUAGCUGUUGGGCAGCAUGACUGCUUAGUAGCGAAGCUAACGCGUGAAAUCGACCGCCUGGGGAGUACGGUCGCAAGAUUAAAACUCAAAGGAAUUGACGGGGACCCGCACAAGCGGUGGAUGAUGUGGAUUAAUUCGAUGCAACGCGAAGAACCUUACCUGGUCUUGACAUGUACGGAAUCCUCCAGAGACGGAGGAGUGCCUUCGGGAGCCGUAACACAGGUGCUGCAUGGCUGUCGUCAGCUCGUGUCGUGAGAUGUUGGGUUAAGUCCCGCAACGAGCGCAACCCUUGUCAUUAGUUGCCAUCAUUAAGUUGGGCACUCUAAUGAGACUGCCGGUGACAAGCCGGAGGAAGGUGGGGAUGACGUCAAGUCCUCAAGGCCCUUAUGACCAGGGCUUCAGACGUCAUACAAUGGUCGGUACAGAGGGUAGCCAAGCCGCGAGGCGGAGCCAAUCUCACAAAACCGAUCGUAGUCCGGAUUGCACUCUGCAACUCGAGUGCAUGAAGUCGGAAUCGCUAGUAAUCGCAGGUCAGCAUACUGCGGUGAAUACGUUCCCGGGUCUUGUACACACCGCCCGUCACACCAUGGGAGUGGGGGAUACCAGAAG
rnacentral:rRNA from 1 species